UACGGAGGGUGCAAGCGUUAUCCGGAUUCACUGGGUUUAAAGGGUGCGUAGGAGGGCAGGUAAGUCAGUGGUGAAAUCUCCAAGCUUAACUUGGAACUGCCGUUGAUACUAUCGAUCUUGAAUAUUUGUGGAGGUGAGCGGAAUAUGUCAUGUAGCGGUGAAAUGCUUAGAUAUACAUAGAACACCAAUUGCGAAAGGCAGCUCACUACACAAUCAUUGACUCUGAGGCACGAAAGCGUGGGGAUCAAACAGG
rnacentral:rRNA from 1 species